ACGACGCUGGCGGCGUGCCUAAUACAUGCAAGUCGAACGGUCUUUCUAUGGAAGCUUGCUUCCACUGAGAAGAUAGUGGCGAACGGGUGAGUAACACGUGGGUAACCUGCCCAUAAGAGGGGGAUAACAUCCGGAAACGGGUGCUAAUACCGCAUAGUUUUCUUGAUCGCAUGAUUGAGAAAGGAAAGACGGCCUUUGUGCUGUCGCUUAUGGAUGGACCCGCGGCGUAUUAGUUAGUUGGUGAGGUAAUGGCUCACCAAGACGAUGAUACGUAGCCGACCUGAGAGGGUGAUCGGCCACAUUGGGACUGAGACACGGCCCAAACUCCUACGGGAGGCAGCAGUAGGGAAUCUUCCGCAAUGGACGAAAGUCUGACGGAGCAACGCCGCGUGAGUGAAGAAAGGUUUUCGGAUCGUAAAACUCUGUUGUCAGAGAAGAACAAGUUGGAGAGUAACUGCUCCAGCCUUGACGGUAUCUGACCAGAAAGCCACGGCUAACUACGUGCCAGCAGCGGC
rnacentral:rRNA from 1 species